CUACGGGAGGCAGCAGUAGGGAAUCUUCCACAAUGGGCGAAAGCCUGAUGGAGCAACGCCGCGUGAGUGAAGAAGGAUUUCGGUUCGUAAAACUCUGUGUAAGGGAAGAACAAGUACAGUAGUAACUGGCUGUACCUUGACGGUACCUUAUUAGAAAGCCACGGCUAACUACGUGCCAG
rnacentral:rRNA from 1 species